UACAGAGGUCCCGAGCGUUGUUCGGAUUCACUGGGCGUAAAGGGUGCGCAGGUGGGUUGGCAAGUUUUGAUGUGAAAGCCCCGGGCUUAACCCGGGAAAGGCAUUGAAUACUGCUGAUCUGGAGGAUCGGAGGGGGGACUGGAAUUCUUGGUGUAGCAGUGAAAUGCGCAGAUAUCAGGAGGAACACCGAUGGCGAAGGCAGGUCUCUGGGCCGAUACUGACGCUGAGGAGCGAAAGCGUGGGGAGCGAACAGG
rnacentral:rRNA from 1 species